UACGGAGGGGGCUAGCGUUGUUCGGAAUUACUGGGCGUAAAGCGCGUGUAGGCGGCUCUGCAAGUCGGAUGUGAAAUCCCACGGCUCAACCAUGGAAGUGCAUUCGAAACUGCAGGGCUAGAGUCCUGGAGAGGAAGGUGGAAUGCUUGGUGUAGAGGUGAAAUUCGUAGAUAUCAAGCGGAACACCGGUGGCGAAGGCGGCCUUCUGGACAGUGACUGACGCUGAGACGCGAAAGCGUGGGGAGCAAACAGG
rnacentral:rRNA from 1 species